rnacentral:rRNA from 1 species
AGCGAACGCUGGCGGCAUGCCUAACACAUGCAAGUCGCGCGGUCAGCAAUGGCAGCGGCGGACGGGUGCGUAACGCGUAGGAACGUGUCUAGAGGUGGGGGACAACCCUGGGAAACUGGGGCUAAUACCGCAUAUGGGCUGAGGCCCAAAGCCGAGAGGCGCCUUUGGAGCGGCCUGCGUCCGAUUAGCUAGUUGGUGGGGUAAAGGCCUACCAAGGCUCCGAUCGGUAGCUGGUCUGAGAGGACGAUCAGCCACACUGGGACUGAGACACGGCCCAGACUCCUACGGGAGCAGCAGUGGGAAUCUGGACAAUGGGCGCAAGCCUGAUCCAGCCAUGCCGCGUGAAGUGAAGAAGGUCUUCGGAUUGUAAAGCUCUUUUGCCAGGGACGAUAAAUGACGGUACCU